UCGGGUGUGGUGUAUGGAACACCGCGGGCCUUGUUGAACAUUUCCUGAAAGGCUGACCAGCAGUCCGGGGUUCGACUCCCCGCACCCGAA